rnacentral:rRNA from 1 species
UACGGGGGGGGCAAGCGUUGUUCGGAAUUACUGGGCGUAAAGGGCUCGUAGGGGGCCAACUAAGUCAGACGUGAAAUCCCCAGGCUCAACUUGGGAACUGCGUCUGAUACUGGAAGGCUUGAGUUCGGGAGAGGGAUGUGGAAUUCCAGGUGUAGCGGUGAAAUGCGUAGAUAUCUGGAGGAACACCGGUGGCGAAGGCGGCAUCCUGGACCGAAACUGACACUGAGGCGCGAAAGCCAGGGGAGCAAACGGG